GACGUAGGUCGCGACCGUUAUCCGGAAUUAUUGGGCGUAAAGGGUGCGUAGCUGACCUGAUAAGUUAGCUGUGGUAAAUCGGGGCUCAACCUCGUGGAAACUGGUAAUACUGUCAGGAUUGAGUACAGGAGAGGUUAACGGAACUCCAUGUGGAGCGGUAAAAUGCGUAGAUAUAUGGAUGAACACCAAGAACGGCGAAGGCAGUUAACUAUUCUGUUACUGACAUUGAGGCACGAAAGCGUGGGGAGCAAAACGG
rnacentral:rRNA from 1 species